rnacentral:misc_RNA from 1 species
UCCGGUUUGUCACCGGCAGUCUCAUUAGAGUGCUCUUUCGUAGCAACUAAUGACAAGGGUUGCGCUCGUUGCGGGGCUUAACCCAACAUCUCACGACACGAGCUGACGACAGCCAUGCAGCACCUGUGUUACGGCUCUCUUUCGAGCACUCCCAAAUCUCUUCGGGAUUCCGUACAUGUCAAGGGUAGGUAAGGUUUUUCGCGUUGCAUCGAAUUAAUCCACAUCAUCCACCGCUUGUGCGGGUCCCCGUCAAUUCCUUUGAGUUUUAAUCUUGCGACCGUACUCCCCAGGCGGGGCGCUUAAUGCGUUAGCUGCGGCACGGAGACCGUGGAAUGGCCCCCACACCUAGCGCCCAACGUUUACGGCGUGGACUAC